rnacentral:lncRNA from 1 species
UCUGCCCAUCUCAGCCUCCCAAAGUGCUAGGAUUACAGGCGUGAGCCACCGCUCCCGGCCAGCCCCAGCUUCUUAAAUUGGCUUUCAAGCCUCCUUCCUACCCUCCCCAUAGGCAUUAAUUAGCUGUUCCUGGUUUGUUUUCCACUACUAGCCUACACAAGGCCAGACAGCUCUUCAGGCAGACAGCUCUCUCUUUGUCCGCUGAAAACAUCAUGUGAAUUGUCUUUAUUUUACUGAAGAUGCCAGGCACCAUGUUAGGCAUUACAAAUAUUAUCUUAUUUAAUCCCUUCCAUUUAAGAGAUGGGUAUAAUUAUACCCAUUUUAAGGCUGUAGAAGGCUAAAGAAGUUAAGGUACUUGUCCAACUAAGGUCUCACAGCAGCACUAGGAUUCUUACAUCUGGCUCAAAAGCUGGUAUACUUUCCACUCCAGCAUACUCUCCCCCCUGCUAUGCAUGUGCUGUGUGUUCUGAUUCCUCCUUCCUCUUGUCAUCUGGAUGAUUUCUCAAUUUCACUCCAUAUAUCUGACUCCUGUCCAGUCUGCAAAUCCGGAGAGAAACUCCCACCUCUGUCUUGAAACCUUUCAACCAUCAUCCUAGUCCUUGGCAGACUGCUGAAUUUGUCAUCUGCAGCACUCAUUUGGUGCUCCCAUUUUCUGCCUUGUAUUGUCAGCUUUAUUUUUAUUCAGUCCCUUCCAACCAAACUGAAAGCUCCUUGAAGAUGGGAAUUUGCCUUAUAUUUAUUUAUAUUCCUCCCUGACUCCCCAGAGCCUAAUAUUACAACUCCCGUUUGUCAUACACUCACCUCAUGCACACUAAUCCUUAGAAGUGAGCACUGUUAUUACUGCCAUUUCGCAGAUAAAGAAACUGAGACUCAGAGAGAUGAAGAAAUUUGCCCAAGCCACUAAGCUGGUGAGCAGAUCUGAUGUUCAAACACAUACUGCCUGAAUCAAAUGCCCCUUUUCCUUUGUGACUGUAUUGUCCUGGCUCACAUACAUGGUCCCUCACACAAUGUGAACUUAUGAAGCAUUCCUGUAUGGAGGAUACUCAACAAGCCUCCAGAAAACAUCCCUCUAACAUGACUUCAGAGAAGGGGCAUUGUUUUUACUCUUCAUGAGGUGAAAUCCGGCAACUCAACAGAAGAAAGGAUGAGUAUAUACCCACCUGAGGACACCCACAUCCACUUCCCCCUCCUCUCUAGGAGCCAUGCCUCAUGUUGGUGGGAGCCAAUGAUGCUGUCUAUAUCUGUACAGGGGUUUCUGUGAGGUAGAGAGGCAAACUGCCCUUCCCCCUUAAUCCUCUGUACCUUUUAAAUACACAGAGGAAAGAAGGAGAAAAUUAAACUGUUAAUUUCUUUUAAUGGUCUGCAGGGUCCAGAGAGGUGGGGUCCUGCUGUGUCUGCAAAAGAAAUGAAUUGCUGCUGUGGGAAGAAUAACAACUGUUUUUAGAAAAUGUUCAUAGCUGACCGAUUAAGCCAAUCUGUAGAACUCAAGUCAGCUUCUUCUUCUCCUUUAAGUCUCAGCUGGAGUUGAAUUUGAAUUAUUUCCUCAAAUUUUAAAUUGCUGGUUUUUGGAAAGCAAUGCUUGUUUUGACCCCAAAUUAUAUUAUCCUGACUUGACCACCCACCUUAUUCUUCAGAGCACUGAAGGAUGCUAAAGGAAGAUGGCUUGCCACCUCCAAGGCUCUUAAACCAGAUGUGCUGUGGGUUCUGAAAGCAGUGCCCAACAAAGAGCUCCAGAAACGUUUUGAGCAAUGGCAGCAAUGGAAGCACCUACACAAUAAGUGACAGCCUUCCAAGAUGACUUGAUAGAUGAGAACACACUAAAAUGUUUGUGUAAGUUCUGGUGUAGUUGUUAACAUGCAGACAUUAGUUAGACCUUGGUUAUACCGUUUCAGCCCUCCAGCUGAGAGUUAGGGACAAAAUUAUUCCUAACAUAUUGUACUUCAAAAAAUGGUACAUCCUUUAGGUGCAUCUUGCAGAUUUCACACAAAAUGUUUUAAUAUUUAGGAUCUAGAUAUUGUUUUGAAUGAUUUCAAGCAUUAUCCAAGAAAGAUGAAAACUAUAACUGAGAUAAACAUAUUGAGUAUGUUUUUAUAUUUUUAUUAAACCAAUUAAUUUUAACCAGGUGUAUGUAUGACUACUUGGGAUGCAUUUUGUUUACUUAAUUGUAGACAAUUCUGACUUAAGAUUGGGGGGAAAAAAGGUACUGUAUGUGGUCUUGAUUUUAACUAGAAAUAUAGUGCUUUCAACUCAAAUGAAACCAGCCCGUCCAGUAUACCAAAUAAGGAGCAAGACCUUUUAAGGAUUAUUUUGCUUUCUAAAGUAAUUAAAAGAAUAUCCCCUUCAAUCAUGUAUGCCCUUUAAACUUUGCUUAA